rnacentral:rRNA from 1 species
CCCCCUUGGGGGGGGAGCAGCAGGGGGGAAUUUUGAUACAAGGGCGAACAAGCCUGAUCCAGCCAUGCCGCGUGCGGGAAGAAGGCCUUCGUGGUUGUAAACCGCUUUAUGGCAGGAAAGAAACGGCGCGAGCCAAUCCCUUGCGCUAAUGACUGUCCCUGCAGAAUAAGCCCCGGCUAACUAUGCUGCCCGCAGCCGCGGUAAUACGUAGGGCGCAAGCGUUUAUCGGAAUUUCUGGGCGUAAAGCGUGCGCAGGCGGCUUUGCAAGACAGGUGUGAAAUCCCCGGGCCUAACCUGGGAAGCUGCAUUUGUGACUGCAUGGCUAGAGUGUGUGAGAAGGGGGUGGAAAUUUCCCUGUGUAGCAGUGAAAUGUGUAGAUAUGUGGAAGAACACCCAUGGCGAGAAGGCAGCCCCCUGGGAUGACACUGACGCUCAUGUACGAAAAAGCGUGGGGAGCACACACAGGAUUAGAUACCCUGGUAGUGCCCACGCCCUAAACGAUGUCUACUAGUUGUCGGAGGGUAACUCCUUCUGUAACGCAGCUAACGCGUGAAGUAGACCGCCUGGGGAGUACGGUCGCUUCAAGAUUAAAACUCAAAGGAAUUUGUCGGGGG